UACGAAGGGGGCUAGCGUUGCUCGGAAUCACUGGGCGUAAAGGGCGCGUAGGCGGUAACACAAGUCAGUUGUGAAAUCUCCGGGCUUAACUCGGAAAGGUCAACUGAUACUGUGCGACUAGAGUGCAGAAGGGGCAACUGGAAUUCUCGGUGUAGCGGUGAAAUGCGUAGAUAUCGAGAGGAACACCUGCGGCGAAGGCGGGUUGCUGGGCUGACACUGACGCUGAGGCGCGAAAGCCAGGGGAGCGAACGGG
rnacentral:rRNA from 1 species